AGACGUCUACAUUAGAUACCCGUGUAGUCCCAGCCGUAAACUAUGCGCGUUAGGUGUAUCGGUGACCACGAGUCACCGAGGUGCCGAAGGGAAACCGUGAAACGUGCCGCCUGGGAAGUACGGUCGCAAGGCUGAACUUAAGGAAUUGGCGGGGGAGCACCACAACGGGUGGAGCCUGCGGUUUAAUUGGACUCAACGCCGGACAACUCACCGGGACGACAGCAAUAUGUAGGCCAGGCUGAAGACCUUGUCUGAAUCGCUG
rnacentral:rRNA from 1 species